UAAUACGGAGGGUGCAAGCGUUAUCCGGAUUCACUGGGUUUAAAGGGUGCGUAGGUGGGUCUGUAAGUCAGUGGUGAAAUCUCCGAGCUUAACUCGGAAACUGCCGUUGAUACUAUAGGUCUUGAAUCAUCUGGAGGUAAGCGGAAUAUGUCAUGUAGCGGUGAAAUGCUUAGAUAUGACAUAGAACACCAAUUGCGAAGGCAGCUUACUACGGAUGCAUUGACACUGAGGCACGAAAGCGUGGGGAUCAAACAGG
rnacentral:rRNA from 1 species